UACGUAGGGGGCAAGCGUUGUCCGGAUUUAUUGGGCGUAAAGAGCGUGUAGGCGGCCAGGUAGGUCUGCUGUGAAAACUCGAGGCUUAACCUCGAGAUGUCGGCGGAAACCAUCUGGCUAGAGUCCGGAAGAGGAGAAUGGAAUUCCCGGUGUAGCGGUGAAAUGCGCAGAUAUCGGGAAGAACACCCGUGGCGAAGGCAGCUCGCUGGGGCGUUACUGACGCUGAGACGCGAAAGCGUGGGGAGCAAACAGG
rnacentral:rRNA from 1 species